AUACCUUUCUCGGCCUUUUGGCUAAGAUCAAGUGUAGUAUCUGUUCUUAUCAGUUGAAUAUCUGAUACGUGGACCAAUGGUCCACAACGAUAUUAAUUUUUUUUUUUAAGGGGGAAGUCCCAUCACAGUAGCUUGCUUCUGGGGUCUUCAAGCGUCGCCCAUGCGUUGCACUACUGCACGAGCCUGGCGCACCCCCC
rfam:Spinacia oleracea cultivar SynViroflay scaffold5298.con0001.1, whole genome shotgun sequence.